rnacentral:misc_RNA from 1 species
GAAAUGCGAUAAGUAAUGUGAAUUGCAGAAUUCCGUGAAUCAUCGAAUCUUUGAACGCACAUUGCGCCCUCUGGUAUUCCGGGGGGCAUGCCUGUCCGAGCGUCAUUGCGAACCCCUCAAGCACGGCUUGUGUGAUGGGCCCUCCCGCGUCUUGGUCGUCAAGACGGGCCCGAAAUGCAGUGGCGGCUUCGCGGUUAUCCGAUCAGCCAGAGCGUAUGGGGACUUUCUCUCUGUCACACGCCCGCGGCGCGGACCGACGCCUGUUGACCUUCAUUCAUCGUUUUCUCGGUUGACCUCGGAUCAGGUAGGGAUACCCGCUGAACUUAAGC